CAUAAUACUGUGGUCAUCAAAGGUGCUUGAUAUGAUUUUAAUAUUCCUAAAUUUAUUAAUAUUUGUUCCAUGACCUACCAUAUGGUCUAUCCCAGACAAUAAUCCAUGUACACUUGAGAAAAAUGUAUAUUCUAUUGCUUUUGGAUGGAAUGUUCUGUAUAUAUCUAUUAAGUCCGUAUGUUCUCAUGUAUUGUUUAAGACCAAUAUUUCCUUACUGGUUUUCUGUCUGGAUGAUCUUGCCAUUGAUGAAAGUAGGCUAUUACAGUCCCCUACUAUUAUCAUAUUGCUGUCUGUUUCUCUCUUUUAAUCUAGUAAUAUUUGCUUUAUCUAUUUAAGUGCUCCUGUAUUGGGUGCAUAAAUAUUUAUAAGCGAUAUAUCCCUUAGUUGAAUAGACCCUUUUAUCAUUAUGUAAUGACCUUCUCUGUUUCUUACUACAUUCUUUGUCUUGAAGUCUAUUUUGUCUGAUAUAGUUACCCAACCUUCUUUUUGUUUCCAUUUGUAUGGAAUAUCUUUUUCCAUCCUUUCACUUUCAGUCUAUGUGUGUCCUUACAUCUGAAAUGAGCCUCUUGUAGAUAGCAUACAGAUGGGUCUUGUUUUUUUAUCCAUUGGGCUGCUCUAUAUCUUUUUAUUGGAGAAUUUAGUCCAUUUACAUUUAAAAUUAUUAUUGAUAGGUGUGUAUUUAUUGCCAUUUUGUUCAUUGUUUUCUGGCUAUUUUGUAAUUCCUUUGUUCCUUUCUUCUUCUCUUGCUUUCUUCCUUUGUGACUUGAUAACAUUGUGUAGUAGUAUGCUCAGAUUCUUUUCUCUUUUCUUUUCUAUACCUAAUAUAGUUUUUUGCUUUGUGCUUCCUUUGAGGCUUACGUGAAACAACUUAUAUUUAUAACAACCUAUUUUAAGCUUAUAACAACUUAAGUUUCAAUGUAUUGCAAAGCUCUAUAUUUUACUUUCCCCCAAAUUUUAUGUUUUUGAUGUCACAAUUUACAUCUUUUUGUCUUGUGCAUCCCUUAACAAAUUAUUGUUCUCUUUGCUACUGUUCUUAACUUUCAUACUAGCUUUGUAAGUGAUUAACCCACCCCCUUUCAACAUUAGAUUUUUCUGAAUUUCAAUAUAUAUUUACCUUUACCAGUGAGAUUUAUCCUUUCACCUGUUUUCCUGUUACUAACUAGCACCUUUUGUUUCAGCUUAAAGAAGUCCCUUUAACAUUUCUUGCGAGGUUAAUCUAGUGAUGAUGCUCUUUUAUCUUUGCUUCUCUGGAAACUGUUUCUCUCUCCUUCAAUUCUGAAGGACAACUUUGCCAGGUAGGGUAUUCUUGGUGGACAAUAUUUUUCUUCAGUACUUUGCAUAUGUUGUGCCACUCCCUUCUGGCCUGAAAAGUGCCUACUGAAAAAUCUGCUAAUAGACUUAUGGAGGGUUCUCUUGUAUGUGACAUAUUUGUUUUCUCCUGAUGCUUUUAAGAUUCUAUCCUUAUCUUUAGCUUUUGACACUUUAAUUGCUAUUUGUCUUGGAGUCUGUCUCUUUGAGUUCAUUCUAUUUGGAAGUCUCUGAGCUUCCUGGGUGUGAAUAUCUAUUUUGUGCCCCAGGAUAGGGAAUUUUUCAGCAAUUAUUUCUUCAAGUAAGUUUAUUGCCCCUUUCUGUCUCUCUUCUCCUCUGGGACUCUCAUAAUGUGAAUGGUGGUCCACUUAAUGUUGUGCCACACUUCCCUUCAGCUAUCUUCAGAGUUUUUUAUUCUGUUUUUGAUGCUGUUAGUGGGUGAGUUCCACUGCCUUGUUUUUUAGUUCACUGAUCCUUUCUUCUGCUUCAUCAAGUCUGCUGUUGAAUCUCUCUAUUGCAUUUUUAAAUUCAGUUAUUGUAUUAAUCAGUUGUAUGACUUCUAUAAGGUACUUUCUUAUAUUUUCUCUUUGGUGAAAUUCUCAAUUUGUUCAUUUAUUCUUCUCUCAAACUCAAUGAGCAUCAUGUGAUCAUUAUUUUGAGCUCUUUAUCAGGUGUAUCACUAAUUUUCAUUUCGUUAAGUUAUUUUUCUGAUGUUUUAUCUUGUUCUUUUGUUUAGAACAUUGCUUUGUUUCUUCAUUUUCCUUGAGUCUCUGUGUUGCUGUCUAUGCAUUAGAUAAAGUAUCCACCUCUCCCACUCUUGAAGGAAUGGCCUCAUGUAAGAGGUGAAUCUUAGUUUUCAGCCUUGCCCUAGCUCUUGUUUGUCUCUUAAACCUUUGUGAUUGUCCAAGCUGCUUUAUUUAAAUUUUAGUGGCUCCCAGUAGUUGAUGGUGUGCCAAGACUUGUCAGUGUCCCAAAGGGAAGGAUCACAGUCAAGACCUAUAUUCAAGCUGGUUGGUAGCCAAACCCUCAGGCAGCAGCCUUUAAAGUAUGCAAAUAUACCUCUUUCAGCAGACUGAGGAAUGGAUAUUUCUGCCUGCUACCUCUGUGCUGAGCCCUGGGAUGAUAGCCAGUUAAGAUCUCUUUCCUUGUUUGUCACUAUCCUACUGAACCCAUUAACACAAGCCCCAUUUGCAAUCAGAGCCAGGCUAUCAAGUGAUGUGUCCUUUGGGUGACAGACACAAAAACAGAGAGGACAGGGUACAAGACAAAUAAGCAAGCUCCUUUCUUGGAGAUAUCGAUAACCUGGGGUGGGGCAGAGGGAAAGCAUAAAUAUAGCACCGACCUCUGAAGAAGAAUGUAUUUGGCUCCAGAUGUGUGUUUAAUUAGAAGCCUGCCCAUCAGGCAAUAGCUAUGAAUAUGAGCUAAUAGACCUCGUUCACAGCUACUGGUGACCUGGUGUAAGGCAGAAAGCGAGUGCAAAGAAGGUUCCCACUGGCCUCUGCACACAGAGAGCACUUCAGUAGGCCUCUAGAUGUGUGCUAAGCCGGAAGCCUUCCUUUUGGUCCAAAAUUCCAAGUCAAGUAAAUCUGCCUUUUUCCCACAAAGACUGGUGGUAUGUUUCAGUUUGCUGUCUGUGCUGUGCCCUGGGAGUGAUAAUAGUCCAAGAACUGUUACUCCAUUUGUCACAGUCCCAUGGGACCCAGAAGUCAAGCCCCACUAGCCACCAGAGUCAUGAAAUUAAGGGACAUCCCCUGGGUAAUAACACAAAACCAGGACACAAAAUGUAAAAACUGGGACAUCAAGUGUGUGUAUAAACUCCACUCUGGGAAAUACCUUUGCUCUGGAGUGCAACAGAGAGAGAGUAAAGACAGGGCCCACCCUUCAAGGUAUCUGGAGAGGUUCACAGUGAAACUUUAGAUGUAUGUUAGUUAGAACCCUGCCCCUCAGCCACAAAUAUGAAGAUAAGCUAAUAGGACUCUUUCACAGAGAGACUGAGCACCUUAGUCUCUUGCUUCUCUGUUGUGUCCUGGGGGUGACAACCAUUUAAGAACUCUCUCUUUUUGUUACAGUCCUUUGGGACCUGCAAACUUAAACCUCACUUAUGCUUGCCCCAGAACCAGCCAAUCUAGAGGUAUCCCAUGGUUGGAAGCUGUAAAAAUUGGGGUGCCUGGCCCCUGAAAAAUCUCUUUUCUGGGGGAUACUGAUGGCCUGGAGUGAGGAAGAGGAAGAGCACAAAGUUGGCACCCACUAUCCUCUGUCUUUGCAGAGUAUUUUAGUAGACCCCUAGAUGCAUGUUAAAAUUAGAUUCCUGCCCCUCAGGCCAAUGCUUUAAGAUAAGCAAAUGCACCUAUUUCAGAGAGCCUUGGGGUUUUUCAGUUGGCUGCCCCUGUGCUGGGCCCUGCAGUGGAUGGGUCCACAUGCACAGGCCCUUUAAGUACUAUUUCUCAGUUCACUAUAGCCUUCUGGAUCUUCUGGAUGCAAGCCCUGUUGGUUUUCAAAGGUAGACGUUUUGGAGGUUCAUCUCUUAGGUGUAGGUCUUAAAAGUUGGGGAACCAGGUAUGGAGUUUAAGCCCUUUACUCUUGAGGAAGAAGCUCAGAGUUUUGAUUUCCUUCCCACUUGUGGGUUGCCACUCUGUGGGUGGGGCUUAAGUUGAGAUUUUGUCUCAGUCUCUCGUAUCCACUUCAAUGUGGCUUUUUUCUCAGUUGCCUUAUUUGUAGGAGUAACUCAGCUAAUUUUGGGGUUUUUUCAAAAGAAAUUGUUGUUUUUGUAACUGUCGAUUCAGUGUAUCUGUGACAAGGUAAUUUCAGGAUCCUCCUACAUAGCCAUCUUGAACCAGAACUUCCAAAUUACAAUUUUUUGAACCUAUCAAAGAGCUGAAGUUGCAAGUCAACCAAGGGAGCUGAAUGCCAAAUGUUGAGAAGCCCCAACAAGGAGAGAUGGAAACAUGAAUUACUCCACCUUUGAUAAAGCAAAAGAGGAAGAGGAACCAGGCAAAGAUCCACUACCUUAGGGAGGAAGGUUGAAGCAAAAGCCAUUCUGAUCCUGGAGGAAAGUAGCCUUGAAACUCUACUACCUGCAGUUACAGUGAAAACCAACAGUGUGGCAGCCACUGGAGGAGGCAAAAUAUGGUUGGAGCUCCAGCAAAAGUCCCAUUCUGAGGGAGUUUUCAUGAUUUGACCAGUCUUGUAUUUCCCUGGAAGAGCCCACUAACAAGGUACAAUGUGAAGUCAACAGUCUACAACCUGGAAGAGGGACCUUACCAGAACCUGACCGUGCUGGCAGCCUGAUCUUGGAUUUCCAGCCUCCAGAACUAUGGAGACAGCUCACAUGGAUGUGCACCUUUGUAUAUUUGCUGUUUUGGCCCAUUUAAUGGAGAUCCUGCACAUAUUGUACAAGAACGCUACUCAUUCUUAUUAUUGGAAAAGUGGUCUUGGAAAUCUCCACUCCCAUGGCAAGGUACUGUGAUUGGCCCUGAGGAUAAAUGGCAAUGAUGAAAGUCCUUUCUGUCAAGUAAAUCAGAGACUCGUGAUGUGACAGCCCUGACAAUUUGCCCAUGAGGACAAAUGUUUUCUGGUCCAGUGGUACUUCCUCGGAGCAAUUUGUCUCAUAUAUUUCAAAGCUGAUGAAAAUGCAUUCUCUCGUCCCACCUGGAUGACUGCCUAAAGCUGUUCCUUGAAUGUUGGAAGGCCCACCUCUGAACCAAAGAGACUCUCUAAACCAAUCUACACAGUCAGAGUGCAAUGCGGAAGAUAGGGAGAGAAGCGACCCAGGUCUUUAAUGAAUUCACAUAAACAAAUUACGACUCCCAGGUAUCUGUUUCUUCAUAAAUAAAACAGGACAAAAUAAAAUAAAAAGGGCAGCUAUUUCAAAUUGCUCUUCCCACAUGAUCAAGCAGUUUCUAGGUUCAUAUAUAUUAAUAGAUGUAAAGGGUUUCAAAUGGUUGCUGGUGUUAUGUCAGUAGUUUCGUCGAAUUUGGGUUCCAUUAGUUUACUUGCUGCCAUAAUUUAAGGCGGCAGCAGUUGUCCCAGAAUUGUUUUGCAACAGUGAAGGACUGUCUUAUUAAGUAUCUUCUCAUUCUUGUACUCAUGAACACUGGAGUAAGCAUUUUCUAAAAGUGGAAUUGUUGGGUCAAUGGAUAUAUGCAUUAAAAAUGUUUCUAGAUGUUGCCAAAUUGCCCGUCAAAACAUUGUCUGAAUAUAGCUGAUUUUCCAGAUCCUCACCAACACUGAGUGUUAUCAAUAUAAUCUUUUGUGAUCUGGUAUUUUGCCUAUAUAUUAAAAUUUCCAUUAAAUUUACCAACUUUUCUGGGAAUGAGGGUAGAACUUUGUUGAAGACUUUGAAAGACAGCAGGCAGUGAUAAUCUUUUGUUAAGAAUGUGACCGUAGAAGUGACAUCACCAUGAUGGUGACAUAGAUUUUUUCUGACUUCACUCUCCCUCACAAGAAGAAGAACUAAGAACUAUUUAUGAACAAGACACCACUGAGAGAAUCCUAGAACAUGGGAGUGAGGCUUAAGCACCAACAGGCACCUCAGGGACCAAGACAGACUGCUUUAGAAGGGUAACAGGAGCGGCUACAUGUUGACCACAUUGCCCCUCCCCUGGACCAGUGUAGCACCACAUGGAGAGGUCUCCUUGAGCUUUCAGUUCCUCCAGUGGAAAAAGAGAACCUGGGGGGGGGGACAAGCAGGUCCCCAGCAUUGUGGGUUACUUUGCAGGAGCCCCUGCUCUGAUUUUACACCACAGGGAUUGCAGGGGGAAUCUGCCUGGCUCAACCACUGGGAAUCUGACUGUGACGGAGAAGGGGGAAGGGACUUGUAACAACCAGCACACAGAUCUUGGUGGACCAAGUUCAUACCUGGAAUGCCCAAGUACUAAUCCCAACCAGAGGGUUUGCUUAUAUGAAGAACCAAAUUAGGGGUGCACUUCGACCAAGGAAAUUGGUAGGGUGCAAAUCUACCUGAUUCAGAUCCUCAAAUGAGGAGUUCUACUGGUUUUAGAGCCUGGUUUGUCUAUAUUCAGUCAGGGAGCUGAAUCAAUAGCCCCACAUGCUAUGGAGAGUCCUCUGACCCCAUCUGACCACAAAAGGAUGGUGACAACUCCUGGAAGCAGUGUAGCCCAGUGAUGCUCAAGCUGAAAGGCAAGCAGACAGAGCUGAUGGCCCCCAGAGGAAAGACAGUACUCAGCAGGGAGUAUUCCCGUGUUACAUACAGGUAGGGAGAUUAAUUUAUAACUAAGGCUGAGGGUAGCUCCCAGCCCCUCCCAACUGGAAAGCCUAUUUGGGAAAUUGAGAGUGGCUUGGAGUGGCCCCUCUCCCUCCUUCCCAGGCAAGGGAGCUGAGACAUAGCCCCCCGGCCCCCCUUGAAGAAUGUCUUCCAGCCCCAUCUGACCAGGAGGGCUUGAGAUGACUCCUGGAAGUUGUGCAGCACAGUGGCACUCAAGCUGAGAAAUUGGUGGUCAUAUCUGAUAGUUUGCAGAGCAAAGCCAGUGGCCCUGUUUGGUCAUGGAAUUUGGGCAGAGGGUCAUCUCGAGUUAGGAAACCAAAGAGCAUUACUAGUUUUAGAGCUGCUUCUCCUCCUGCACUCAGGCAGGGAAUCUAAUUUGUAGCCCUGCUCAUCACUGAAUAUAGUCUUACCUCUCUCUGACCAGGGAACCUAACCAGAGCACACAGGAAGCUGCAUAGCCCAUUCAACAGCCCUACAUAGUGGCUUUGGAACAGAGAGCACAGCCCGUGGUUUUCCCUGUCUGCAAAGCAAAAGUGGUGGCUUGGCCUGAUCAGGGAAUUCAGUGAACACUCUGGCCUCAUUUGAAUCCCCAAGCAAUGAGCUGUACAAGCCCUGGGUCUUGUCCUGCUGCCCUGACAGGGUAGGAAAGCUAAUUCAUAGCCCCAUCUACUACUUAAUAUAGUACCCAGUACCAAACAUCUAGUAAGCCCAACUAGAGAAUCCAGGCAACUGUGGAGCCCAUCCUACAGACUUCCUUAGCUAGGCAACCAUGCCAGCAAUUCUACCCAAUUGUUCUCAGUCAGUGGCACACCCCUCCUGCCCUGUCCUCAGAGCUCAGAUAGUUACCUCACCCUAAAAUAGACCAUAAUAGCACGCCGUACCUGCUCAAGGACAUUACCAGCAGACACACUCCAAAACCCAAACUGAGCCGACUGGCAAAUAACUGUCUCUGCCAAAGAAAACCUAUAAAAUCUGGAAGAGGUGCCUGAUUACUCAAAUGUGCAGAUACCAGUGUAAGGAAUCAAGGAUCACAAAAAAUUAGGUAAAUACGACACCACCAAAGGAAACUAAUAAAGCUCUAAUAACUGACUCUGAAGAAAUGCAGAUCUACGAACUGUCAGAGAAUUCAGAAUAAUCCUCUUAAGGAAGUUUCAUGAACUGCAAGAAAACAUAGACAGACAACUAAACAUAAUUAGGGAAACAAUGCCUGAAAAAAAACAAGAAGUCUAACAAGGAAAUAACAAACAUUAAAAACAAACAAAUAGACAGAAAUCGUAGAGUUAAAAUACAAUAACUAAACUGAAGAAUGCAAUGGACAGUUUCAAAAGUAUGCUCAACUAUGCAGAAGAAUCAGCAAUCUGGAUGAUAGAACAUUGGAAAUUACCCAGUCAGAGGAGCAAAAAGGAAAAAGAAUGAAAAUGAACAAAGUAAGCCUACAGGGGCUAUGGGACACAAUGAAAGAAACAAUACUCACAUUAUGGAAGCUUAAGAAGGAGGAGAAAGAGAAAGAGACAGAAAGUAUAUUUCAAACAAUAAUUGCUGAAAACUUCCCAAACCUGGGGAGAGAAAUAGGCAUCAAGAUCAAUGAAGCCCAAAGGACUCCAAAUAGAUUGAACUUGAAUAGGGCUAUACUGAGACACAUUAUAAUUACCAUCAAAAGUCAAAGACAAAGAAAGAAUUUUAAGAAGAGCAAGAGAAAA